GUGCUCGCUACAGCAGCACAUAUAUUAAAAUUGGAUCCAUACAGAGAAGAUUAGCAUGGCCCCUGCGAAAGGAUGACGCGCAAAUCCGUGAAGUGCUCCAUAUUUUG
ensembl:snRNA U6 U6 spliceosomal RNA